GGCAAUCUUUGGCAGCCAGACACUACCUAACUCCAAUUUAUGGACAAUGAAUAAUGGUGCAGGUUGUACAAUUUCCAGUGCCACAGCUAGUGGCCAGAAGCCAACCACUCUGCCACAAAAAGUGGUACCACCUCCAAGUUCUUGCGCCUCCCUGGUUCCCAAACCCCCACCCAACCACAAACAAGUGCUCAGAAGGGCAACAUCCCAGAAAACUUCCAAAGGGUCCUCCGCGGAAGGGCAGCUGAAUGGACUCCAAAGCAGCCUUAACCCUGCAGCCUUUGUGCCCAUCACCAGCUCUACAGAUCCUGCUCACACUAAAAUAUGAACCACAAACACACAGAGAAACAACCUGUUCACCACUCCUGGGUGCAUGAUUGAGGGUGAAGCAUCCACCAGCACUUCAAGGGGUCCAUAGUAUUUUUUUUUUUUUGCUGCCUCAAAGUCCCCAAAGCCUUCGAGCAGAAGUGGCAGUAGAUGGUUGCUAAUCAGCCAAUGCAGACUUUCACUGGGACAACAGGAAAGCAGAUCUUCUGGGUUUUGAUGGAACUUGGCAGUGGGGACAUUCAGCUGAUGCAUUAUAUACCCCGUCAGAGCACACUUGUAUCUUUUACCUUCCCUUUGCCCCAUGCCCCCAAACUGCUUAAGUCUUCUCUGUCCCUUUACUGCUGCUGCACAGAGAUGAUAUAAAAGAGGCUCUUUGGCUAUUUG
rnacentral:lncRNA from 1 species